GUAGGUGAACCUGCGGAAGGAUCAUUAACACGUAUCCAACGUUAAACCCCCCUGUGAACCUUCAGUGUGCUCUCCCCUUCCGUUAGAAAGAGGCAAUCCCUGGUAAAUCAUCGCCGAACAGUUUUGAUUCAGGGACUUCCCCGCAGGAGGGACGAUCGAGCGCGAGGCAAGUGGCCUGGCAUCCCUCUACUUGUUAGUGUCUGAAAGUGUCACUAGCUCUGCACGGAUGGCGCAGUCACGAUCGCUAGAG
rnacentral:misc_RNA from 1 species